GCUGGGUGUGGUGGCUCACACCUGUAAUCCCAGCACUUUGGGAGGCCGAGGUGGGUGGAUCACUUGAGGUCAGGAGUUUGAGACUAGCCUGGCCAACAUGGUGAAACCCCAUCUCUA
ensembl:misc_RNA Metazoa_SRP Metazoan signal recognition particle RNA